CCCGUUCUUCUGUCUUGUAGACUUGGAUGUUGUUCUGCUGGUGGAGGAGCCACUGUUGGCUCAGGGUUGAAUCCUGCAAGAUUUCCGUCUGUUGUAUUCAGCUUGAAUAUUUCCAAGCCAUUCAAGAUUGCAUCAGCAUAAGUAGGUUUCAGUUCCAUGUUAGGGUGUAGUUCGAGCCACAAGCCCUGCUUGCUCUGGCUCCCUGAGGGACCAGCACGAUGUAGUCUUUGUAAACUGGAAUGCCGUUGCCACCGCUCAUAUGGAUCACAUCUGCAUCAUGGCUGUGCUAUUUGAUUGUUGAUGAAUAUUAAAAAUACCUGUUGAUUUUCAGUUUUGAACUCCAUUCGAGUCUCACAAAAGUGGAGUCUAAGGAGAUAAUUGAAACCAGCAUCAACUGGGAAGAUCCAUGUGAGAUUGUAAUUCAUGUUAAGAAGUGGUUCAGGACCCAUAGAACGCAUAGUACUAUAUACCAUAACAGGUGCGGAGUAAGCUGGCGUUUUGGUUGUGUACUCUAUCUUGACGCCUGAGUGAUAUGGAGUGUUUCCAGCUUUUCCAAAGAGAUACCCUGAAUCUUGAUGCCAUGUCCUGUACAUUCCAGUCUUGUCUCCAGUGCUGCUGAUAUCUUGCCCCCCAACAUUCAGUCGAUAAACUGUCUCAAGCGCAGUUGUGUUACCCAGAUAGAAGGGGGCGGUGCCCACAUAGGUCGGUGGAUUAUCAUCGCCACGAGCAUAGAAGCUGUCUGGCAUGGAAACGAUUUCGAUACCAUUAACGAAGGCAAAAGAUGCUGGAGACGGAAUGAAGGUUAAUUCAAGCUUCUGGUUGUCCCACACGGUGAUGAUGAACUCUUUGGUGAAGUAGUCAACUGGAGGUCUUAUAGCAGAAACUGUAAGAGAGGCACUAAAGUUGUUUAGUAGCUUGUAGUUGUUGGCACUAAGCGAAAAAUAGGAUUUGGAUAUAUCAAGAUUUGAGUAAGAAGAUGGAUAAAAGUAGAGACGCACAAAUUUUGGGCCAGGCAAGACUGGAAUUGUGUAAGUGAAUUUAGAGUGAAGAAUACGGGCUGUCAUGUAUGGGACUUGGUCGACAGAGGGGUCUUGAGUGGAGGCUUCAAACACAGAUGAGGCUUCUGGGGGGUUAGAGGCAGCAAACUUAGACUGGGAAUCACCAUCCCAACUGCGACCAUCUGGAGAUGACAAAUUAGAGGAUGCACCACAGUUAAGGAGUAUUAGAUCAGUGGGGCUGUAUGGCAGCAAGUAAUCUUCAGUAGCAGUAGCAUAGAGGAAGAGAUGGAGGGGAGGGAGAAGGUAGAGAGCGAUGAAGAUGGACAUUAUGCUAUUUCUUUUGUGGAAUAAGUUGGAGUAAGAAAACCUAUGCAUUAAAUGCAAAGAUUUUGAUUUAAGGGAAGAUGAUCAGUGGCGUUUUUGUCUCCAUACAGUAUUUUUGCUCAGUUGAGAAUAAUCCAAUAAUAUAUUUGAAGCCCGGGGAGUUGAAAAUUCGACGAUAUGGCUAAUGGGACAUAUUGGUCGCUGUACUUAGUCAGCUUUGGAUGGCUGCUUUCCAUUGUGUGGUUCUGAAUUCUGCAAUAAAGACGCCAUGAAUAGUCUAUGAAACUUAUUUUUCUUUUCUUUUUUCCUUAACUUUUUCAUUGUUGGAUUAAGAUCACACACACCACUUAAUUUCUUAUUUGAUUAAUAUUCUUAACGAGGUUGAAUGUAUUUCAGGUUGGUGUUCACCAUAACAAAUGCAGUAAUCACAGCUCCGAGAUUAGGAUUCAAAAGGUGCAAAGCUUCUUUUUCCUUAUGGCCACCGCCUUGAUACAAUGAUUGUCGCAAGUGCAAGGUCUAUAUAAUCCUCACCGAUGCCUUCUGUCCAAUACACACACAUCCUCAUUAUAGGCUGGCCUUGCUUCAGUCUUCAAUAAGAAACAUCGUUCUUGUUCCUCAUGAGUAGCCCUUUCACUCGCCUCAGAUCCAUGAAGUCUCAUUUACUCCUUUCUAUUAUUCUUCUUCAAUGCUGUCUUACUGAUAAAAUGCUCUUGUUUUUGGUGUUAUAUAUUCUUCAAUGCUGUCUUACUGAUAAAAUGCUCAAAUGAGACUUCAUGGAUCUGAGGCGAGUGAAAGGGCUACUCAUGAGGAACAAGAACGAUGUUUCUUAUUGAAGACUGAAGUAUAUAUAUAUAUAUAUAUAUAUAUAUAUAAAAUUUUACACAGGCUCAAAGGAUCGACCUAUUUCUUUUUGGUUCAUGAGUGUGCCUUUUUGGGCUGAGUUUAAAACCAAAAAUCUUCUCAUCUGGUAUAGUAAUCGCUUAAUUACUACAAAACUUGGUGGUAAUGAGAAAUCUUUCUUCCCAUUAAUCGAAGAAUAAUGGAUUUACCUCUCGACAUACUUGGUGCCGAAUAAAAUCAUUAGCACUAGUGAAGAAGAGGCAAGCUGUCCUCUCUUCCCUGGAGAUGGCAAUUUGUUCUCUCUCAUCCUGUUAAGCUUGAUUUCCAUAAUUGAGGGGAAAUGAAUGGAGUUCUCGGUGGAUGAAAAAUAAUUGGAAUAAUAAAUGAAAUGAAAUUGUGUUUCAUUGUUGAAACAAUCAUGCUGAAAUCACUUCAAUCCAAGUCUCUACAUUGAAUAGGUCUAGCAAAUGUUCUUAUCUUGUACAAACAGGACACCUUAAGCAAACCUGUGAACAUUCCAAGAUCUUUUUUUCAACUUCAUAGCUUGCAAUAGAUUAAUGAGGAAGCUUCUCCAUUAAUUAGUGCACGAGAAAGACAAUCACUAGACAUCGUAUCGACAAAGCAAUUGCUUGCUAUUUUCUUCAAUUAUUAAUCAUCAUAAAGUACAUACAAAUUUUAUUGCUAUACUCAUCGGAAGCAUGAGUAGAAAGAAAGAAGAAAGAUUCAGACAGUCACCCUAGACGUAGAGCAAACUGAUCCCACCCAUCUUGGUGGAGCUCACAUAGACGGACUGGUUCACCUUGCGCUUUAUGGGUGGCUAUUCAAAUCGAAACCCACACAGACAGAUAAAGAACUGACCCCUUUGUCUCCUCUUCCUCGAUCAACUACCACGUUUGCACCGAUUGUAGUAAGUGCAGGGCCGAGUGUUAGGAUUGAUCGGUUUUGCACAGUCGCCAUAUAUUUGUGCAUUGCAAAUUGGUUGUCGUUCUAAACUAUCAUAGCUAAGAUAGUUACCCUGAGAGGCCAGUAGUCUCUGAUGCACUUCAGAUUCCAUAGAGAACUCCUCUUCAUUACCUUCACCGAUUGUGGCAUUGAAAAUGGGACUCGAGUUGCUUUCAAGAAAGGCAGCUGUAGAAGCAGAUGUGAUCACAAAAACCAGCAGGAUAGUUAAAGAGAGCCACCGGAGGAAUUCAAUACUUACGCUAGGCCUCAUCUCUUUCUGUCUGUACCCUUCUGUUACAGAGUUUGAAGAGCACUAAAUAGACGUCACUGCUAAGAAGGCUUCAAACUCUGGAUAUGGAGUGAAAGGCCAGCUUUUUUCCAUUGACUUGCUUUUUUGUGAAGACUUGGGUCUUCACAUGACUGUGAUUUUGACAUUGUGCGCUCUAAUUGCUUACAGCUGGCAAACUGGUUGGAUAAUGGUCCUUGCCAAUUCAAUCGUUUCCUCAUUGUUCGUUUGCAACCAUGAACAUUUAUUUUAGUGUUUGAUAGUGGUUUUUUAUAAUAUUUUUUAUUUAGAAAAAUAUUAAAAUAAUAUUUUUUAAAAUAUAUUUUUAAUAUCAAUAAUGCAAACACUCAUCAUGCAGCGUUUUCCGAGGGACAUCUAAUAGUUGUCGGAAACCAUGUGCGCGUCAAGUCCAUGGGCCAUCAGCUGAUGCUAAGUUUUGAAAAAAUUGCAAUUAUUUUUUUAUGGGAUCCUGCUAACAAACACUAGCAUUUCUCUUACUUUUAUGUAAUUAAAUGGUAGGGUAUAGCAGUUCUUACAAAGGGACCAUAGAAAUGUCUUUUGAACUGGUGCUAUUGGCAUACCCAUAAAUCUAUUGGCGUAACAUUUUGGAAAUGGAAUGUCAAGGUUUUUUCUUCUCUAACAUGAAAGCUUUCUCCUUUUUUUUUCGUUUAUUAAUAUUCAUAAAUUAAGAGAAAAUGUUGAUUUUUCAAUUGAAUAUACGUAAGGUAUGAAUUUGCUAUGCGUUUAGAGUACAUGAAAGACUUAUUUAUAUUAGGCUUUUUGAACUUUAAAACUAAUUAAAUUCUGCUUGAAGUUGAAAAUAUGUCAUGGAUGACGUGAUAACGUGAUAAGCACUUUUUGAAUAAUUGAAGGGGAUGGAUGUUUUGUUAAGGAUGACGUCAAUAUACACCCACACACUAUGAAGUUGAUUCAAAGAAUCAGGAUUAUAAUCUGGAUCUUCGUUAGUGAAUUUAUCCUCAUCAAAACUUGAUAUUUCGUACGAGGUUUCUUCGAGUGUUUCUUGUAUUCUGCCUUUGACCUUGAUGAUGCUAAGGUUUACUUGAAUUCGAUUUUAAGAGGUUAGAAAUGUAAAUUGUCUUUUUUAAGUUGGAGAUGAUAGGAAUUCUUGUAGCUAUGGAGUUUGUUGAGAUUGUAGCAAUAAGCUUGAGUUUCUCUGAAUUGGAUCCAUCAUUUGACUUUGAUGUAUCCCAUGAGAUCUGAAGAGUAACUAAUAUCUUUAUUUACAUCAUGCAUUGUAAUGAAAUUCCAAGAUAGCAUGAGACACCAAAGGUAGAGAUGAAAUUAUACAAAGAAACGGGAAUUGAAUUCGAAGGCAUUUUUACUAUAAACAAUUCCAAUUAUUGUGUGAUUUUUUAUGGGAGGAUUUCACUUAUAGAAGAAAAAUAUUUCCACCAAUUGUUUGAGAACCAAGUUGGUAAAUUUUUUGGACAAAUGUUUUAUCAAAAUGGAUGAACCAUAAAUGAUCAUGGUUUUAGAAAAAGAAAAUCAAACCAAGCUCGUUGAUAAUCAAAAUAAUUAUAUCUUUGAGAUUAGUAGUUUCAAGAAAAUCUUUCAAGGUGUAGGGACUUUGACUCAAUUAAGUCUUGAAAGGUUAAAACCUUUUAAAUUUUUAUUUUUGAAAAAAAUGGAUUAUUUACAUCUUCAUUAUGAGUCACUUCAGCAGAGUUAAUGUCAAACCAGAACAAACUCAUAAAAUUAUCUUGUUUUCAAUAGUUUUUCUAUAAUGAACUAAAAUUGAAAGGGGAAGAUAUAAAAAAUGAUCUUAUUUAGGUUUUCAUUGUAAAAUUAUUUUUUAAUUGGACAAAUAUGAAGAUUUAUAGUUUCUUGACUUGGAAGGUUUAAUAAGUUAAUUUUUUCAGGGAAGAUUUGGAGGGUAAUUAACACAAGUGGAAGCACAAGCAAAUACACAAUAACAAGUAGGGUAUAAAAGUUGUUACAAGGGACCAUAUAUAUUGUGUUUUGAACUGGUGCUAUUGGCAUACCCAUAAAUCUAUUGGAACAAUAUUUUGGAAAUAAAAUGUCAAAGUUUUUUUUUCUUCUUUAACAUGAAAACUUUCUUUUUUCCAUUUAUUAAUAUUCAUAAACCAGAGAGAAUGUGAUUUUUCAAUUGAAUAUAUAUAAGGUAUGAAUUUCCUAUGCCUUGAGAAUGCACCAGAGUGGUGGCCCGCGCGACACCACGGAUCGGACCAAACAUGUUUUUCAAUAUGAAAAAAAUCUUUAGGAGAUAGUUGGGUUUUUAAAAUAAAAAAAAAAUAGAUAAUAAUGUUAAACCUUGAUUAAUUUUAUAAUAUAAUAAAAAAAUUAAGCAACAAUAACAAAGAAAUAAAAAAUAAUUACAUACAAAACUGGAUUAACACACGAAACUCGUGACCUAACACAUGAGAUCAGGAUAACCCUAUAGGAAUAUGAUACCAGUAAAAAUCCAUUGUUGAAAAAGGACAUGGAAAAAAAAAUCAAAGGCAAUAAAAUAUUGAAGGAUGAAAUUAAGAAAAAAAGUUCAAAUAAAAAUAAAUCAAAAAAAUAAAAAUCAAAUCUAACAUAAAACAAAAUUAACUAAAAUAUUGAGAGAUACAAUUAAAAAAAACAAUUCAAUUAAGAGAAAGAUAUAAAAUAUUGAGGGAUACAAUUGAAAAGAUAAUUUAGUUAAGAGAAUAAUUAAAAAUCAAAAUAAAAAUAAUAGGGAUCAAAUCUAAAAUGUAAACAAACCAAAUGAGAAUUAAAUUGAAAGAAAAUUUUAAAUGCAUGCAUAAUCUAAAAUAAAUGAAAUAACAAUAAAAAAAAAGAAAUCAAAUCUAAAAGAAAAAUAAAUUGAAGUGCUAUAUAAAAUCUUACUUUUUGUUACCACACAAGCUCUCUAGAAAUUGAUCGGCAAUAUCACAAGGAUAAAAACACAAUUAUAAAAGCUAGAGCUUGGCUGUCAAACGAUACCUCAUGUGUUGUCUAAUCAAAACAAAAGUACUAACCCGUGACCGUAUAAAUUGCAUGUGCAACUGUUUUUUUUUUUAAAUAAAUUAAUAUAAUAUAUACCUAAAUACUAAAGUGCAUUUUAUCGAACUUGAUAAUCACAAAAAAACCAAAAACAAGAGACAAAAACAAAACCCCUUGACCAAGGGCAAAGACAAUUCAAAUGCAAGGACACUUCAGUUUUUCACUGUGCAUGUGAAAAGGAAUACUUGAAAGUGACCCUCUCCACUAGUCCAUUACUUUUUAUUUAGAAGGAUAUAAUGGUUAUUUUACCAUGAAAAUAAAAAAAAAAAAUUAAUAUACCCUACUUCCAAAGCCAGCAAAAUCAUUAUCUCACUAUUCCAAUCGACAUUAACAAUGAGUUUGGCUGUACAAUAAUAAACCUAUACUAAAAUGGGAGCUCUUUUAGUCUCUUCUAAUGAAAGACUUAUUUACAGGAGGCUUUUUUAACUUUAAAUCUAAUUAAAUUAUGCUUGAAGUUGAGAAUAUAUCUUGGAUAACGUGAUAUAUACACUUUUUUAAUAAUUGAAGUGGCUGAAUGUUUUGUCAAAUAUUAUUGAAUAAUUAAAUUAGGUGGAUUUUCAUAAAGGAUGACGUCCACAUAUAUAAAAGAUUCUUUUAUAUCCAUGUGUGUGUGUAACUCAGAAGAUUAGGACCAUAAUCUGGAUUUUCAUUAGCGAAUUCAUCCUCAUGAGAACUUGAUAUUUAUACAAGGCUUUUUGGAGUUUUUUCUUGUUCUGACUUUGAGCUUGAUGAUGCAAGGCUUUCUUGAAUUCGACUUUUAGAGGUGAGAAUUGUAAAUUGUCGUUCUUGAGAUGGAGUCGAUGGGGAAUGCUUGCAGCUAUGGAGUUUGAUGAGAUUGUAGCCGAGCAUGCACAACUUGAGAACAAGCUUGAGUUUUUCUGAAUUGGGUCCAUCGUUUGACUUCGAUUUUCCUCAUGAGAUCUAAAGAGUAACCAAUACCUUCAUCUACAUCAUUUAUUAUAAUGAAGUCCCAAGAUAGCAUGGGACACCAAAGGUUGAGAUGAAAUAAAAAGAGGCAUGAAUUGAAUUCAAAGGUAUUUUUGUUGUCAACAAUUCCUAUCUUUAUAUGAAUUUUUAGGGAGAAUCUUACUUAUUGAAGAAAAAUAUUACCACCAAUUGUUUGAGAACUAAGUUGGAAAAUUCUUUGGACAAUGUUUUAUCAAAAUGGAUGAAUGAUGAAUGGUCAUAGUUUUUUAGAAAAAGAAAUUAAACCAAGCUUGUUAAUAAUCAAAAUUACUGAUUGGUAGUUUUGAGAAAAUCUUUCAAGGUGCAGGGGUUUUGAUUCAUGUCUUGAAAGGUUAAAACCUUUUAAAUUUUUAUUUUUAUUUAAAAAAAAAAAAAACAGGAUUGUUUACAUCUUAAUUAUGAGUUAUUUCAACAAAGUUAAUGUCAACCAGAAUAAACUUAUAGAAUUGUCUUGUUUUCAACAUAUUUUCUAAAAUAAAUUGAAAUUGAGAGGGGGGAAUAUAAAGAAUGAUCUUAUUUGGGUCUUCAUUGUAAAAUUAUUUUUUAAUUGGACAAAUAUGAAGAUAAUAGUUUCUUGACUUGAAAGGGUUAAUGCAUUUUUUAGGGAGGAUUUAGAGAGUAAUUAACAUAAGUGGAAGUACAGCAAAAAACCAAUAGCAAGAGAAAGAAAUAAUAGUUGAAAGAGGAUGAGUAAAAGAAUCCUAAUUUAUAGUUUUAUUGAUGAAGAGAAAAAUCCACUAUUUUUUUUUGCCCCUUUAAGAUAUUUAGAAUCUUUAAAAAGUUAAAACCAAACUAAACAAAUUAAAAAAUCCCAAAGAAAAGUAACAAAAUUCCUAAACAAACUAAGAGAAAUAAAAUUAUCAUUCUCAAUAUUUAAUUUCCUGAACUAGAUAGAAAAAAAUAAAAUCACCAUAAAGAAAAUAUUUUUCUAAACUAAAUAGAAAAUAAUAAUAAUAAUAACUAAGAAAUUUUAUUUUCAUAAAAAUCCUGGCAUCAACAAUAAUGUUGUUGAAGGUGCAUUUUAAGAUUAAACAAACAAGGGUGUUUUGAGAGAUUAAAAAUAAUUUAAGUGAGGUGUUUGGACUGAGUGAUGUUGAUGAAAGGAUUCAAAAUUGAUUAUUUGAGACAAAAACUAGCCUCACAAUAGGAGGCCAUACCCUCCUUAAAGUAUCUUGAAUGCUUGAUGUUGUUGCUUGAAUUGGUUUUAAUGGUGUAAGAGUAUUUGAUUCUUUUAACUUCUUGACCGGGAUGCUCAUUUUGAGCCUAGUAAAGACUCUUUGACUUUUAUGAAUUCAAUCUUGUAAAAGUAUCUAAGAUUUGUAAAAAUAUCUAAAACAUAAUUCAGGCAUCUCAUAAACCUUUAAAGCUGGGUUUUAUCCUUGGUUUUUUCUACGGAUUUAUCAAUAAAUUUUAGUGAUCUAGUGAUUAGAGUUAUUGAUUCUUGAUACAUGUUGUAUCCUAAAAAAUAUAUUUUUAAUUAACAUCUUUAAGGUUGAGACAACUAAUCUAUUUUGUUUGAUAAUAUUGAGAAGCUUUUGUAAGUUUUCGAAAUGUUUGGUUAUUAAUUUUAAAAAUAAAAAGUCAUCAUCUAUGUAUAUAAUCAUAAAUUUUAAAUACAGAUUAAAGAUGUCAUUUAUAAUGGUCUGAAGUUUUAAAUGAGUAGUUCAAAAGGCAUUACAUCUCAUUUGUAAUGAAUAAAUGUAACAAUGAAUGUUGUUUAGUAAUGAUUUUAUUAUUAUUAUUAAAUUAGACUUGCUAGAAUCCUGACCUUAUGUCAGAUUUUGAAUAUAUUGAAGCAUUUUAAAGUCUCAUCUCUCUUAUCAUCGUGUAUUGGAUAUCUAAUAUAUUGAAGCACUUUGUUGAGAGGCUUGUAAUUGAUGACAUGUCUUAGUGCACACUAUACCAUUAAACAAUUUUAUUGACAGAUUAAUUUCGUCGGUGUAAGGCAUGACAUCUGUCGGUAAAAUUAUUACCGAUGGUCUCAUCGAUGAAAUUCGUCCGUCGGUAUACUAAUCGCCGGUAAUUUCCUAUUCCGUCGCUAAUGUUGUCGGAAUUAAAAAAAAAAACCAACCACCGCCGGUCUUACAAACGGUGACACGCUGCAAAAACAAAAUUUCCCACGAGAACAUUACCGACGGAAUAUAUCGGUCUACAUUUUUAACGGUAAUCAUCAACGGAAUAUCCAUCGGUGAUGGUGGCAUGACGGUAAAUAUUUUAGAACUCUGUAAAAUACCAACAGAAAUAUUCCGUCGGUAAUAGUAAUGGUAAACACUGACGAAAUAUGUCCAUCGGUGAUUAUGGCAUGGGUGGUAAUUGUUUGGCAACUCUCGGUAAAAUACCGACGGCCAGGAUCCGUCGGGAAAGUCGUCGGCAUGUAUUUAUAAUAUAUAUAAAAAAUAAUUUAUUAAUAGUAAAAAAGCUUAAUAAACAAAUAAAAUUGUAUUAAACAUUAAAAAUAUAAAAAUAAUGUUAAAUAUUAUUCAUCCAAAUAUUCAUUACAAAUUUAAUGUGUUUAAAAAACAAAAUUAAACUAGAAUAGCGGUAGAGCUAGAGGAGGAGGAGGAGGAGGAGGAGGAGGAGGAGGAGGAGGAGGAGGAGUUGGUUGUUCCCGGGACCGUACGACCAAAAAGGAGCUGCACAUGUAUCAUCACCCAUCCUUGAUAAUUACUCCAUGACCAUUUGAUGGAGUUGAUCAUAAUUCAUCGAGAGUUGUUCAUAUUGUUGUUUCAAGGCCAUGAACUUCUCAGACUGGGUGCUCGAUGCUGAUGGAGAGCUCCUAACGGUUGAGACACUACGGGUUGAUCGCAAUUUUUCGGUCGUAGUGUUGGAGAGCCUGUGGACUCAAUUUUUUUUGGGACCACUAGACGAUCCCACCUCCAUCCACUAAUCCGAAUCAAAAUCCGGAUAGAUCGAAGGAUCGUCCCCAUAUCUCUCCCUCAACCGUCUAUUAUAGGUCUCCUGAAAUUUUUUAAAAAAUCAUCAUAUUCAAUUCAAGAAAAUAAUAACUUACUAAAUAAAAUGAUUGAACGAACAUACUACGAAGUGCUGAGCACGGUUGUCCACAAACUACUGCACCCCUUUUUGGCGAUCUUGACUCCGCACAUGCAUCUCUACAAACAACUCCAUUGGACGUAGCUUAUAAGGAAAAAAUAGGUUGCAAUUAAGUUAAAUAUAUUUAUAAGCAACGACAAAUUAAUUAAUGAUAUAUCUCAUUAAAAUUAAUCUUACCAUCCGCUUUGCAUGUGUGCUGAACGGGACGGAGCCGUCGGUGUGCAUGGUCACCAAACCAUGAAUUUACCAGUUCCGGUUGUGGGCGCCGAAUUGUGAGCACCAUGAUAACCACUCUAAGGUCACGUGCUCAAUAUAUGUUGUCCAUAUAUCUCUCGAGAUGAAUGGCAGUUUGAAUUCCCGCCAAACCGCUACCUCAUUCCAUCCUUUAAGACCGUUAUCCCUCGCAUGUCUUUUUGAUUUUUUUUAUUGAACCAACCAGUUUAACUCGGUUUUUUUGGUUUGGCUAAGUUUUUUAUUCUGACUUGGCUCAGUUUUUUCGGUUUUAGGCUUAUAAACAUAACCGAACCAAUCAGUUUUUUAAAAUUCUAAUCGGUUUAAUAAGUUUUUUUUACAGUUCGGUUUUUUCGGUUAUUUUUUUUAUGGUUCUCUCGGUUUAAUCAAUUUUUUUAUUUUCUUGCUUACCCUUACAUAUAGGUAGUGAAAGGGAAAUUACGAAUUAUACAGAAUUGAACAAAAAAAUAGAAGGUCAAUUUUUAAAAUAGAAUGCCCACUCCGGCGUGAAAAAUGGAAUAUUAAAGGCAAAUACAUGUUGUUGGCAAAGUUCCAAGCCUGGGGUCCAGUUUCAUGCAAACAUCUAAUGCACGUUAUGAGGCAACAAAUAAAGCAGGAAGAGAAUAGACUAAAAAGAAAUCUAUAAUGUUAAAUCUAUGAUGAAAUUUAUUGGUCUAAGAUGCUAAAAAAUUAACAUGUAUUUAAACUUAUAUAUAUUAUAAUACCUCGAAAAUAUAGAGUUGAUCAAGUUCAGAAUAUGUGGACAUGCUUUUUAUAAAUUCAAAACUAGUAGAGGAAAGACUCAUAUCGUAUAUAGAAAACUUAGAUAUUUUUCAAUUAUACCUAGAAUGCAAUGACAUCAUCAUUCACAAGAUUUUGUGGAUGUUUUAUUAUAUGAUAACAUCAAAAUAUAUUGAAAGAUUAUGUAUAUAUCAUUAUGAAUAGUGGAGAUAUGAUACAAUUAAAUGAGAAUUUUAUAUAACUAGAUAAAAAUAUGAAAUAAAAAGACUAUGUGGAUGAUCUAAUAUAUAUUUUUAUAUACCAUUGAGACAUUCUAGAUCUAAAAAGAGGUCUUGUCGUGUCAAAUUAGACGAACAUCUUAGGACCAUGUCUUUUAUCAAAUUGUUAGAUUUCCCGGAUUAGGUAUCAAAACUGAAUAUUGUUAUUUGGGUUAAUUUUUUUUUUAAUUUUUUCAAGGUUUUUUUUUUUGGAUUUAUUAUUUAAUUUGAUUUAUUAUUUUAAUUUCUUUUGCUUUUUUGUAUUUCUAGUUGUUUUCUAAUAGAUGUAGGGCUUUUUUGAUCUAUUUAUAGGUCUUAUAAACCUUUUAAAAGAUAAACUUAUUAGGUUUAUUUUUAGAUAAAUAAAUCAUAAAUUUGUGUUUCACAUAUAUAAUUUUUUUUGUUCAUUAAAUUUUAUUGUGUUUUAUGUAUUGUUACUAUUCUUAUAGGUCUCUGCUGCAUCAACCAUGCUUUGAGUUGGCUAAUUGUUAUUUUUUAUUUCAUAUUAAGUAUAAACAGGUAGUGAAAGGGAAAUUAAGAAUUAUACAGAAUUGAACAAAAAAAUAAAAGUUCAAUUUUUAAAAUAGUAUGCCCACUCCGGCGUGAAAAAUGGAAUAUUUCACAUCUAAUGCACGUUGUGAGGCAACAAAUAAAGUGGACCAAUUGGAAAUGAAAGAAGUGACCUUUGAACAAAGACUUCCAAGUCGUUGGCAUUAUGCAAUCAAUAAUUCAACAUUAAAAAAUCCCAAGUUGUUGCCUUUGAAAUGUCUAAUGCACGUUAUGAGGCAACAAAUAGAGUGGACCCAUUGGAAAUGCAAGAAGACCUUUGACAGGUCGUCUGUGCUGUGUAGCAGUGACCUCUGAAAGACAUCAAAGACUUCCAAGUCGUUGGCAUUAUGCAAUCAAUAAUUCAUCAUUAAAAAUUUUGGUAACUUUCUGGAAAUGAGACGUGAGAUUUUUCGUCCUUAACAUGUGGACCUUUCUUUAUUGACUUUCAUAAAUUUAGAUAUAACUAGUAAAUUUAAGUUGUUUUAUCUUAUUAAUUUAUACACUCAUUUUAAUUCUGUACCUCCUCGAUUCCUCUGGCAUGCAUCAUCACUCCGUAAUCAUUGUAUAUGGGAACCCCAUUUCCAUCAGCCCAAGAAAUUAUAUCUGCGUAAAGCUCGGCAGUUUGAUUAGCGAUAUAUAUUUGAAAGAUCAUAUCGCCUUCCCGCAAUAUAAUCGGUAUAAACUGACAGAAAUGAAGCCUAAAAAGAUAGGUGAAUGUGGAUUGGACCGGAAACUGCCAAGUCAUAUUGUAUUCCUUAUUUACAGUAGAAUUGGGUCCCAUGGUCCUAGCAGUUCGAUAGAGUACAUCAGGUGCAGCAUAGCGAGUGAGGUUAUUAUACUGAAGUUGAAUAGUGCCAUUAUAUUGAUAAACGCUCGGUCUAGCAUCCGUCAAGUAAUCGUCGUCGUUUAGCCAACUUUGAAUAGUGCCGUUAUUUUGAUGUUGUGGAUGUUUUGUUAUGAAUAUUUGGUGAAGAUAAGAUACAACUAAAUAAGAAUUUUAUACAACUAGAUAAGGAUUGAAACAGAAAAACUAUAUUGAUAAUUUAAUAUAUAUAUUUAUAUACCAAUAAAACAUGUUUAGACCUAAAAAAAAGGUCUUGUCCCUCAAAUUGGAUAAACAUCUUAAAAUUGCAUCUCUUAUCAAAUUAUUAGAUCUCCAGGAAUUAUGCACCAAACCAAAAUAUUGUUGUUUGGGUCAAAUUUAUUUAUUUUUCCUAGUUUUUUUAUUUAUUAUUUAAUUUGGUUCUUUAUUUUAUUUUAUUAUGUUCUUUUGUAUUUCUAGUUGUUUUCUAAUAGAUGUAGGAUUUUUUUUUAAUCUAUUUAUAGGUUUUAUAAACCUCUAAAAAAAUAAACUUCAUUAGUUUUAUUUCCAUAUAAAUAAAUCAUUAAUUUAUAAUUUACAUUGUAAUCUUUUUCGCUCAUUAAAUUUUAUUGUGUUUUUGUAUUGUUACUAUCCAUAUAGGUCUAGGCUGCAUCAACCAUGCUUUGAGUUGUCUAAUUGUUUUUUUUUUUUUUUCAUAUUAAGCAUAAACAAAAAAAUAAAAUAAAAGGUCAAUUUUUAAAAUAGGAUGCCCCAUCCGGAGUGGAAACUGGAAUAUGAAAGGCAAAUACAUGUUGGUGGCAAAGUUCCAAGCCUUUGGGCCCAGUUUCAUGUAAACAUUAGGCAACAAAUAGAGGGGACCAAUUGGAAAUGGAAGAAGACCUUUGACAGGUCGUCUCGUCUGUGCUGUGUAGCAGUGACCUUUGAAAGGCAUCAAACACUUCCAAGUCGUUGGCGUUAUGCAUCAAUAAUUCAACAUUCAAAAAAAAAUCCGCACUUUCCAAGAAAAUUAACUUUCAAGACAUCAUAAUCAGACUUCUGCAUAUUUCCGUGGAAUUUUAUUUUUUAUUUUUUUUAAAAUAUGGAAAUAUAUUGGUAACGUUUUAGAAAUGAGACGCCAGAUAUUUUUCGUCCUUAACAUGUGGACCUUUCUAUAUUGAUUUUCAUAAAUUUAGAUAUAACUAGUAAAUUCACGUUGUUUUAUCUUAUUAAUUUAUACAUUCAUUUAAUUAUUAUUUAAUAUUUGUUUUUCUUAUUUUCUCUACAAUAUCACUUGAUAAGUUGGCAAGGAUAAUGAUGUCCAAUAUAUUUCAGAAAAUAAUACAUGAAAGUCUUACAAUGUUGUUAUCAAUUUACUAUUUUACUAAUACCAUACAUCUACAUGCAAUAAAUAUAUUUUUCAUUUUUUCUUAUUGUGUGGAAUUUUUUUUUUAUAAUACUCAGAAAAAAAUAAUAAUUAAAAGAAUAAGGACCAAACUAGAACAAUUUUAUUUUUGUUUUUAAUGCUUUUUUAACUUAAUUGUUUUCAAUUUUAUCCAUAUAUAUUUUAUUUAAUUUAAUUAUUUAAUCUAGUUUGGUCCUCAUUCUUUUUAUUACUAUUUUUUUUAAAUUUUAUUUCUCAUCAUUUUAUUUCGUUUAAUUUUUGUGUCCAAUUUUGGUACUCAUUCUUUGAUUGCUUUAUAUAUAUACUAAAUAUAUAUAUCAUUUUCUUAAUUUAUUUUAAUUUUCAAUUUAGUCUCUUAUUGUUUUCUUUUAUUUAAUUUUUAUGUCAGAUUUGGUCCUUAUUUUUUAUUGUUAUUUAUUUAUUUCUUAUCUAAUUUUGGAUGAUUAGGGAUUUUGCUUGGUAUUUUUUAGAGUUUGCCUUUUAUGAUUUAAUCCUGAUUUCAUUACUCAAGUCACUAGUUUCGAGGAUUAGCCCGAUUUAAAUUUGAUAUUUUUUAUACCUUUUUUUUAAAAUUGAUUAUUUUUUAAUUUUAUCAUUUAAUUUAGGUUAUUAUGUCUUGAGUUUCAUAAUUUUUUCUACUUUUCUUUUUCUAUAUCAUCCUAUGUCAUGGGUUUGCUGGGUGAACUCAGGGUCAUUCAAGUUUUAAUUUCAUUUAGUCUUGAGUUUCAUGGUUUUUAUUUAAUUCUUUUAUUUUAUCAUUCCACAUUAAAUUAUUGGGUUUUGAGCUUCAUGGUUUUUUCCUCAUUCUUUUAUGUGAGUUUAUCUUGAUCUCAUAUCAUAGGCUUAGAUUUUUUAUUGCGUUUUUAUUUCAUCAUUUGAAAUUACAUUAUUGGGUUUUAAGCUUUGUGAUUUUUUUUAAUUUUUUUUUAUGGGGUUAUCCUGAGUCGCAGGUUUGUCAAGUUAACCCGAGUUGACUUCGAGUUUUUUUUUUAUAAUCCUUUUAUUUUUCUUCGGUCUUUUUUUCUUGGUCCUUUUUAUUUUAAAUAAUUUUUUAUCCCGAUCACAUUUUGCGGGUUGCGAAUUAGUCGAGUGAACCUUGGCUCACUCAAAUUUUUUUACAUUGUUUCUUUUUAAAUUAUUUUUUAUUUCAAUUUAAUUUUUUGAUAUUAGAUUGUUAGGUCAUGAUCUUAGUGAUUUUUUCCACUUUCCUUUAUACGAGGUUGACUCGAGUUACGAGUUAAUCAAGUUAACCAGGGUGGCCUCAUUUAUUUUCUUGAUAUUUUAUUUAUUGAUUUAACUUCAAUCUUUUUUAUUUAAGUCUUUUUUUUAAAAAAAUAUUUUUUUAAUUCUAAUCUCAUAUUGAGGGAAGCGGGUAGUUAAGUGAUUUCGAGUUGACUUGUGUUUUUUUUUGAUGUUUCUAUUUUUAAAUUUUAUUUUCGAGUUUCAUUUUUUAACAUUAGGCUAUUAGGCUUGGAGCAUUAUUUUUUUUUUCGUUUUCCUUUUAUAGAAUUAUAUUAAUUUUUUAUCCUAGAUCAGAGGUUACUCAAAUUAACCUAACUUAACAUAAGUGAUCAAUGCCUUAACAUUUUUUUUUCUGUAACAUGGAUCACCAUACCAGUAAUAUAAAAAAGAGAAAUGGGGACCAAAUUCUUUUAUCUCUCUCUCUCUCUAGAGAGAGAGAGAGAUCAUUGGAGUCUAAAAGUAAAUUUGAUAUCUUCAUGAUGAAUAAAAGUACAAAAUUAGAUUAAUUGAAAUAUUAUUAGUUUAGUUAUAUAAAUAUAAAUAUUACGUAAAGUUUAUGUCAUUUAUCUACACAUAAAGAAAAUCUAAAAUCUUGGUAGAUUAAAAAUCUUUUUUCUCUUGUGAGCAUAAACUCUCUUUUUUUGUUUUUGUUUUAGCUAGAAGUGGUAAAAAAGAGAUAUACAGAGGAUAUGAGAUUGAUCAGCUCUUUUUAAUAUGCAGAGAGAUUCAAACCAUUGACGUAAUCAAGAUUUUACUAAUUAAAGGUUUUGAGCAUUUAGCUAAAUAUAUGAUACAAUAAAAUAAGAAUUUUAUACAACUAGAUAGAGAUUUGAUCUAGACAAACUAUAUAGAUGGCCUAAUAUAUAUUUUUAUUUAUCAAUGAGAUAUGUCUAGGUCUAAAAGAAGGUUAUGUAGUGUCAGAUUAAGUUAACACCUUAAAACUGCAUCUCUUAUGAGACUAUCGGAUUUUCAGAAAACACACCCCUUGCUCUUUGAUCUGGAUCACUUUGGGUGACACUUUCGCGAGUGCUAACAGUGCUCCUUGAAUGCGACUCCGCUCCACUAAACAUGUCAUCGUCAUCAGUGGUCGUGACAUCUUGAUGUGGUGAAAAUGAGCUUUUAUUUUCCAUAUUGAUCCCGUCUACACUGUUGGCAUUUUCCUCAGCAGAUUGUUGAAGCUGCAAUGCAAAUUCAAGGCCCCAAACGACAUCACCCAUUUUAGGGCGUUCAAUUCCUGAAACAUGUAAGCAACUGUUAGCAAUCUCUGCCAACUUAUUUAAAGAGACAGGGGAAACCUCGCCCUUUAAAUGUGGAUCCACGAUCUGAUCAAGGGUUCCUCUUUGGUAACACUUUCUUGCCCAGUCAGCUAAGCUUGCUUGAUCUUUCGGUGAACUUGGAAUCACUGGUGGCCUUGCACAUAGCACCUCAAACAAAACCACACCGAAUGAAUAAACAUCAGAUUUCUCUGUCAGGUGUUGCCUACGGUAGUACUCUGGAUCCACAUAUCCAAUGCUACCUCUAACUACAGUGCUAACAUGGGUUUGGGAUGUACUAGUGGGACCCAAUCUGGACAGCCCAAAAUCUGAAACCUUAGCCACCCAAUUCUCAUCUAACAAUAUGUUUGUUGACUUCACAUCACGGUGAAUGACUGUGUGCUUUGCUCCUGAAUGAAGAUAAUGCAACCCUUUAGCAGCACCGAUGCAUAUUUCUAGCCUUUGCUUCCAUGGAAGAGGAGAGUUCUUUGUUUUGUAUAGAUGUUCUCUAAGAGUGCCUCUUGACAUGUAAUCGUAUACAAGAAUCAUCUCGCCAUGAUCAUCACAGUAUCCAAUCAGCGACACUAGAUGGAGGUGGCGCAGAUUGGAUAACAUCUCAAUCUCUGUCUGGAACUCACGUGUCCCUUGCUUUGAUGAUGAAUCUAGUCGUUUGAUGGCUACUGCACCGUAUUCAAUGUAUCCUUUAUACACAGUACCAAAUCCCCCUGAACCAAUAAUAUUUUGAUCAUCAAAGUGUCCUGUUGCUUCGUUGAUUUCGAAAAAUGUAAACCGUCGGCAAAGAUCAGUAGGGAGUGAUGAAGAGAUUGUAGUCGUGGACCUAGAUGUUUGUGAUAUUAGAGUCCAGGAGGAUUUUUCCUCACUCUUGCUAGGGUCCUUGACUCGCUUCUGCUUGAAAGCAAAGAAAUAAAGAAUAAGAGAGCAAGCAAACACUGCACCUAUGGAACCUCCAACGAUGGCUAUAACCGUAAGUAUUGAUGAUCUUUUGCCCGUUCUUCUGUCUUGUAGACUUGGAUGUUGUUCUGCUGGUGGAGGAGCCACUGUUGGCUCAGGGUUGGAUCCUGCAAGAUUUCCGUCUGUUGUAUUCAGCUUGAAUAUUUCCAAGCCAUUCAAGAUUGCAUCAGCAUAAGUAGGUUUCAGUUCCAUGUUAGGGUGUAGUUGGAGCCACAAGUUCCUGCUUGCUCUGGCUACCUUGAGGGACCAGCACGAUGUAGUCUUUGUAAACUGGAAUGCCGUUGCCACCGCUCAUAUGGAUCACAUCUGCAUCAUGCUCCGCUAUUUGAUUGUUGAUGAAUAUUAAAAAUACCUGUU
rnacentral:lncRNA from 1 species